UCUUGGAGUGAGGGAACAAACCCAUGCAGCCCUUGUUACACAGAGAGGCUGGAUACUACCCGCAGUCAUGAAGGAAUCCAGGAAACUCAGGUAGCCUCUGUGCCUCUCCCUGGGUUUUGUUGUCGUGUUUGUUUUUUGGUUUUUUUGUUUUGUUUUGUUUUUGUUUUUGUUUUUGUUUUUGUUUUUGUUUUUGUUUUUUCAUGCUAGAAAGACAGAGAAGCAAAUGGAUCCACACAUCCCAAAAGCCUCAUGAGAGGGAUCCCCACAGCUGCAAUGACCCCAUCCUCGAUGCUAACACAGCUGUUUGACCUCAGGCACCUAUUCUGGGAUCAACCAGAAGUUUCUGAUGGAAGAAGCUUACAAAGCAGACAGAGCAAACCACUUUAACAAAAAGCACUCAGAACCAAGCAUGGUGGUGCACAUCUGUAAUCCCAGCAACCAGGAAGCUGAACCAGGAGGAGCUCUGAAAGUUCAAUUCCAUCUUAGGCUACAAGCAACACACUGUCUCUAAAUAAACAAACAAACAAACAAAUAAAUAAUGAAAAGAAAGAACGACAAGAGAAGAAUACUUACAAGCCUUUUCAAUGCACAGCUUAAAGUUUAAAUUGCUUUUCUCCAUGUACUUUUACUACACUAUUUUCUUAGACUGCAAAAAGUAUUAUAGAUGUUUAGGUGGGUUCUUUUUAUUUGGCUUUUCCCUUCCACUGAUAUUGAGGCUUAGGCAUUAGAAGCUGAUGUAAUAGAAAAGUGCUCAGCCAUCUCAAACAAAGUCAACUGCCCAACUGCCAAUUAGCUUGGCUCUUCCAUACACACCCACAGAAAAGAGUGGAAUGUCCAGAGCAAAGCUCAUCUGGCCACAAACCCAUGGA